rnacentral:rRNA from 1 species
CAGGUCUUGACAUCCCACUGCCCGGUGUAGAGAUACAUUUUUCCCUUCGGGGACAGUGGUGACAGGUGGUGCAUGGUUGUCGUCAGCUCGUGUCGUGAGAUGUUGGGUUAAGUCCCGCAACGAGCGCAACCCUUAUCCCUAGUUGCCAUCGGGUCAAGCCGGGCACUCUAGUGAAACUGCCUCGGAUAACGAGGAGGAAGGUGGGGAUGACGUCAAGUCCUCAUGGCCUUUAUGUCCAGGGCUACACACGUGCUACAAUGGUCGGUACAAACCGUCGCAAACCCGUGAGGGGGAGCUAAUCGGAAAAAGCCGGCCUCAGUUCGGAUUGGAGUCUGCAACUCGACUCCAUGAAGCUGGAAUCGCUAGUAAUCGCGGAUCAGAACGCCGCGGUGAAUACGUUCCC